AUGAGGCAAGCAGGAAAGACACUAAAGGACUAUCCAGACAUGGAACUACCAAAUGCUACAGAACUUGAACAACUUGGGAACAGAAUGAUAAAUGAAGAACUUAGCUACGACAUGGAAGCACUAAAGAGUGAGCACCAAACCAUAAUAAGCAAUCUUAACCAUGACCAGAAAAUGGCCUUUGAUGCAAUAAUAGAGUCAGCUGAGAGAGGACAAGGAAAACAGAUAUUUGUAGAAGGCUAUGGUGGCACAAGGAAAACUUAUCUAUGGAAAGCAAUUACAACGAAACUACGAUCAGAGGGAAAGAUAGUGCUUGCGGUAGCAUCAUCUGGCAUUGCAGCUUUGCUGCUCCAAGGUGGAAGAACAGCUCACUCAAGAUUCCACAUUCCAAUAAAUAUCACGGAAGAAUCAACAUGUGAAAUAAAACAAGGCUCACAUUUGGCUGAACUGGUAAAGAAGACCUCACUUAUAUUGUGGGACGAGGCUCCGAUGGCAAACAAACACUGCUUCGAGGCACUAGACAAAAGCCCUAGGGAUAUUCUAAGGUUCACAAACCAAAACAGUAACGAAAGGCCAUUUGGUGGCAUGACCGUGGUGCUAGGAGGCGACUUCAGACAAAUACUUCCAGUCAUAACAAAGGGAAGGAGAGAACAGAUAGUAAAUGCCUCAAUCAAAAGGUCAUACCUAUGGAAGCACUUCGAAAUAUUUAGCCUAACUGAAAAUAUGCGGUUGAAGUGCCUGUCAGAAUAUCCAAUACAAAAGCAAAAUGUGGCUGAAUUUGCAGAAUGGAUAUUACAAAUUGGCGACGGAAAAAGAAGAAACGAUGAAGGGGAUGAUUGGGUAAAAAUACCUAAAGACAUAAUUCUACAUAAAGGAGAAGACCCCAAAGAAGAGAUAGUCAAAAGCACGUACCCAAACUUGCAACAAAACUACCGUGACCGUAAAUUUCUCGAAGAAAGAGCAAUACUAUGUCCAAGGAAUGAAAUAGUUGAGAAGAUAAAUGACUACAUAAUGAGCCAAAUACAAGGGGAAGAGGUGACAUACCUAAGCUUGGACACUGUAUGCAAGGCAACAAUGAAGUACAACACAAUGGAGAAUAUGUGUCCAACAGAGUUUCUUAACAACAUGACCAUCCCAGGAAUUCCAAACCACGAGCUAAAACUGAAGGUAGGUUUGCCGGUGAUGCUCCUACGCAACAUCAAUCAAGCAGCAGGUUUAUGCAAUGGUACAAGAAUGACUAUUACACAGCUGGGAAACAGGUACAUUGAGGCACAAAUAAUCACAGGAACACAUGUCGGUGACAAGGUAUACAUACCUAAAAUCAUUAUGUCACCAAGCGACUCAAAGUGGCCCUUCGUGCUGAAAAGAAGGCAAUAUCCUCUAUCAGUUUGUUUUGCAAUGACAAUAAAUAAAAGCCAAGGUCAAUCCCUAAACAAGGUGGGUCUAUAUUUGCCUAAGCAAGUCUUCUGCCAUGGGCAACUAUAUGUGGCACUAUCAAGAGUCACAAGCAGAGAAGGAUUAAAGGUGCUGACUGACGACACGGAGUGCCCAAGCGAAGAUGGCGCAAAGAAUAUAGUAUACAAAGAGAUCUUCUAA
rnacentral:rRNA from 1 species